UCAAUGUAUACAUAGAGAUGUCGAUCAAUAGACAAAUACGUAAAAGGGGGAGGGAGAGACCUCAAAGUCGUGCUACUCCAAUAACUUCAAAAUUGUUGGUGACCGCUCUAUCAAAUCCACGCAAUAGUUGCGUACACUCACCGAUGGGUUUGUCACAGAUAACCUGUCAGACAUUAAAAAUUGCCCAAAUUAAAUGUUAGACCAGCUUAGACAGUAAACGGAACAAUAUUCUAAUUUUACUUUACUUAUAACGAAUAAGUGAACAAAGGAAUAAAAAGGAAGUUUGGCAAAGAAUCCCGCAGCUAAUCCCACCAGACACCGCUCUGCAGGCUUAUUCGGGAGUCAAAAUUCUCAAAAUGUACUAAGAAAUGACAUUUGUUUACUAAUCCCACCAACAAGGAGGAAGUGACGUGAAGAGAAUUUACUAAGAAAUGCCAGUGUAUUAAUAUUGAAGGAAAACAUUCACUGACGACCAAAAUCGCUGAUAUAUGCUUAAUUUCUCACUCACUAAGAACGUUCAAUUCAUUCAAAUGAAACUUCCACAGGAAGGUCUCAUUAUUAAGGCUUUAGCUUCACCUCACAUGCUCAAUAAUUCAAAUUUGAGGAUGAUAUUUCUCCAAAUGGAGGGCUCUAUUUGGCUUGCCAACAAUCUUACUCACAACUAUCAUCCUUGCUAUAUCGGUUGCACUGAGCAAUCUUCAUUCUGACAUUUGCCCUAUUAACCUGAGUACACAAGAAUCCGAAACAACUGUUAGAAAUUUUAAUCUUUAUAUAUAGCCAAAAUGGUGAAUAAGAUGAUGUACUGAUAAUAAAUACCUGAGUUAAUAAAUAAUUAAGGGGCCGGUAACAAUCUCAGCAUCUUAUCAAGUGGGGAAAGCCUUCGCAACGAAGAUGCUGCUUGCUUUCAAGCAAAUAACUUUCCAAUUCCAUAAGAUAGCUUAAUGCCCUUUUAAGAAUAUCUCCACCAGCCUAACAAUUAUUCAUGGAAAUCCAAUUUGCAUUUGUCGCCUUCAAUUUGCUCAUCUUUGUCUAGAGUAUUGUUUUUGCAUUAACUUAGCUAGCUUGCAAACCACCUGCAGAUGGUUUUAAAUAAUGUGUGAGAGUGUGAAUUCAAACGAAUUAAUUAAAUAUGAUGACAGGAGAAACAAAAUUAAAAUAACCACAAGAAGUAGAAAUAUACUUUUGUUAUAUUCAGAGUAUCUCCUACUGUCUUCAUUUCCCUUAGCUCUGUUUCCUUUUGUGUUCGAAUGCAAUGCCUCAAGGCUCAAGAUAAUUUGAUGACCAUCAAUCUUUUUGCAGCCACAUGUAGACUUGAAAAACUGUUGGCGGCCCUAAAGAACUUGAAAAUUAGAAAAGAUUCAGAAUGAGUGACUAAAUAUAAUAAUCGAAACUAAUUAAACAAACGCGCCUUGAAAAUCUGAAACUGAAUUACUCAAAUGUAUAUGCUGUAAGAAACCAAACAGUGAGAUAACAAAUUAUAUGUUAGCUAAUUUAAACAAUAGUGUAAACUAGCAAUCGGAAACAAUAAAUGAAGAACAGAAGAAGAAGAAACCGAAUUGAAAUAAAUAAAUAAAAAAGAACCCGAGGCCUGCACAAAAACAGUCUCCUUAAAACAGAUUUACCACCUAUUCGGAGUGCUUAAGGUCUAAUGGUAUCUGUUUCCCAGGAUGCAACGGGUACGAACUUCCAGUCAAGCACAAGCUGGAAAUUCCGGCGAACCACAAUAGUGAACUCGAUCAGAGAAAGACGAAGAAGAAUGAAGGGAAAACAAGUGUGCUUUGUGCUCGUUUUUUGCAAGUGGAAAAAACAGAAGUGAAGGUGUCUUUUUAUACUCAAGGGAGGAUGUAACAGCUUUUGUAUUGAAUUUUCGAAUUCAAUACAUUUUAAUUUAAUUGUUAUGACAGCCAAAUCAAUUUAACGAAUUGAUUUCAAAAUUGAAUUUAAAAAAAACGUGAAUAACAGCUAAAAAUAAUUGUAAAAGCUAAUUUGGCUGUUACAAUAAAUUGUGCCUGUUACAAAAUUGAAUUUAAAAAAAACGUGAACUGUUACAAUAAAAAAUUCAAAAGGAAUUAAAAAACGUGCCUAGCUUGCUUGAUUUUGGGCUGACGUUCGUGUACGCAGGCGCACACGAGUUCAACCCCAAAUUGGGCUUUGAUUCGCACCCCCCCCUGCGCACGCUUGUG
rnacentral:lncRNA from 1 species